AAGCGGUGGAUCAUGUGGUUCAAUUCGACGCUACGCGAAGUAACCUUACCUGGGCUCGAACGACUAGUGGUACCCUUUAUGAAAGUAGAGGGGACCCGCAAGGGAGCUAGCCGAGGUGCUGCAUGGUUGUCGUCAGCUCGUGUCGUGAGAUGUUGGGUUAAGUCCCGCAACGAGCGCAACCCCUGUCCUGUGUUGCUACUCCGCAAGGAGAGGACUCUCAGGAGACUGCCGUGGAUAACACGGAGGAAGGUGGGAUGACGUCAAAUCAUCAUGGCCUUUAUGUCCAGGGCUACACACGUGAUACAAUGGUACAGACAGAGGGCUGCAAGACCGUAAGGUGGAGCCAAUCCCUAAACUGUAUCCCAGUUCAGAUCGAGGGCUGCAAUUCGCCCUCGUGAAGUUGGAAUCGCUAGUAAUCGCAGAUCAGCAGGCUGCGGUGAAUACGUUCCCGGGCCUU
rnacentral:rRNA from 1 species